AGGAGGUUUCCUUGUGAAUGGGGAAAGUUGACCCAUUCGGGAAGCUGAAGGGUCUUCCCCCAGCAUGGGAACCCGAUCCAUCAUUUUGGGUUCUGAUUCGCCGCUCAGAAAGCUAGAAAGUCUUACUCGAAAAACGAAAAUCUAUUCGAGAAGCUAAAAAAUCUUUCUCAAAAAAUGAGAAUCUGAUUCGCCGAACAGGGAGCCGAAAGGUUUUCUGGGUACAGAUCCUGAUAAUUUCGGGUACUCCGUUGGGUAG
rnacentral:lncRNA from 1 species